rnacentral:lncRNA from 1 species
CUUCCCUUCCGCUUCCUUUCCUUUCUUCCCCUUUCCCCUUUCCCCUUUCCUUUCUUUUCUUUUCUUGAGGAGACUCCGGGAAAGCGAAAGACAGAAUUGUGGCAACUUUCUGGAGCAGAAAGUUCUGAGGCAAGGAAAAGCCCUUAUGUGCGAUGCGAGGGAGGCUGCACAGACCUGGGUGGCUGCCCACAGCUUCUGGAGCCUGGCCGCAGCGCCUCUGAAGGCAAUGUCACAUAGGGAACGAGUCACGAGGAAGCCAGACAGGCACAAGCACAUGGACGCUUUCCACCUUGAAGAUCCAGGGCCACCUUCCUGCCCCCUGGGGGCACAGCGGUCUCCAGUCCCUGGAGAAGCUCCAGCUGGGGAUACUGUCAACCCGGUAACCAGCACGGCGCUCCUGGGCAGCCCGGGACCAGCUGUAAAGUGGUGAUGGCAGGAGAAACCCUACAGGGACUGGCUCACACACACACAGGGACUGGCUCACACACACACACACACACACACACACACAGGGACUGGCUCACACACACACACACACACACACACACACAGGGACUGGCUCACACACACACACACACACACACAGGGACUGGCUCACAGGUUUUAAGUGAAAGGAAGAAAUCAGGAGUUCUUUCCUUUUUUAGCAAUUUGAAACUCUAAGAAAAAGGCUACAGUGUUGUAUUAAUGUCUCACCACUCCCACCCCCUUUUCAAGUGAAAUAAAGAAUACAAGGGAAGCCAGAAAAAUGCUGAAGAUUUUGGCAAUGAAGGGUCUGACCACAAAGAAAGCCAAUGUGCCACUUGUGUGGAUUUUUGCAGAAAGAGUAAACAGCCUUCCUGCAAGACACAGGCUGCAGAGGGUUCCGUUUUCAUGGCUGGCUGCCACAGAAUUGGCUUAGGCUGGAUGGACUGAGCAGAGCAUGGGGUCUGAGCCGAGUGGCGUGAGCCAGGGGUCCAGAGCAGACACGGGGGGCGUGCACGCCAUCUCCAGAGUCGCACAGGGCUGUGCGUAGGCGGCCACUAGGGUAGGUCACGCAUAAAAGUUGCUUUGUAUCUGCAGCACGAACAAGACUUAAAGAAAGAUCUGUUUUAUAAAGACGAAGCAGUGCUCAGUAUGUCAUUUAGGAUGAAGAAGAAGGCAGGGAAAGCGUUCAUUUUAGAAGUGCUGUGAGGAUGGUGCAGGACGCAGUGGGGCGGGGGGAGGGUGCAUUCCGCCCGGAUCUUCCCUCCCCUCACUUCUGUGCUGCCCUGCCUGCAUGCCCUCACGCCCAGGCUAGUUUCCACUCUGCCACAGGCAGUGAAGAUUGGAUCCGCUGAUGGCAGCAUCUUGGAAACAGGAAACUGACAGGCCUCUGAAUAUGCCAUCCUAAAAUAUGACUGUCUGAGACCAGACUAUACCACCCCAAAAUAUGACUGUCUGAGACCACACUAUACCACCCCAAAAUACGACUCAGAGAUCAGACUAUAUCACCCCAAAAUGCGACUGUCAGAGACCAGAUUAUACCACCCCAAAAUAUGACUGUCAGAGACCAGACUAUACUACCCCAAAAUACGACUCAGAGACCAGACUAUAUCACCCCAAAAUAUGACUGUCAGAGACUAGACUAUAACACCCCAAAAUAUGACUCAGAGACCAGACUAUAUCACCCCAAAAUAUGACUGUCAGAGACCAGAUUAUACCACCCCAAAAUAUGACUGUCAGAGACCAGACUAUAACACCCCAAAAUACGACUCAGAGACCAGACUAUAUCACCCCAAAAUACGACUGUCAGAGACCAGAUUAUACCACCCCAAAAUAUGACUGCCAGAGACCAGACUAUAUCACCCCAAAAUAUGACUGUCAGAGACCAGACUAUACCACCCCAAAAUACGACUGUCAGAGACCAGACUAUACCACCCCAAAAUAUGACUCAGAGACCAGACUAUAUCACCCCAAAAUAUGACUGUCAGAGACUAACCAGACCAUGCCUCCCACACAUGCCUCUUUGUCUUAAGGAUCAUUUGGAGCUGGUUAUUUUGAGAAACUGCAGAUGCAGGAGAACCUUUAAAAACAGAAACUUACCAUUUUGUAAAGGAAAUGUCCGUCAAUAAAGGAACUGUCCAUUUGUAAGGGUGCCUUCCUCUCUGCACCAGAGAGAGAAGAACGACUAGAUCUCUAGACUCCUGAACCAUGGAGAAGGUUUCUAAGCCUGAAGUUUAAACUACCUGUUUGAGAUCAACUCCAGAGACAUACUCAGUUCUCUGGGUGCCUCCCAAGUGCACACGAGCUACACAUACUAAUAAACUUCUGUUUGUUUUUCUCUUCUUACUCGGUCUUUGUUACAGGGAGUCUCAGCUAAGAAGGUUGGAGGGCAGAGAGAAAACUCGUGUUCUGCCCCUACCGGAGCAAGUGUGUGUUCCUCUGCACUGAUGAAUGUGCCUGUCUCCAGAAAGGGCAGCCCGUAGGUACUGAGAGCAGAGGUGGAGCUUCUAAGAGAGCAGUGACAGCCUCACUCCUCCUCCCUGGCCCACCCUCACCCCGUCCCCUGCACCUGGAGCCACUGGAAGACGGAGGAGCCAUCCUUUAAGAAUCUCCUGGAGGACUCAUCGACCCCACGGGGACAUGGUACAAGGCUGGAGAGCAGCUCUGUGUUGAAGGGGAGGAGAGAAGAUAAUCUCAUUUCCUCCCAGUCUAAAGAAUGAGCAUUCCCAGUGGAAGGAGAAAGCAGAUCCUUGGCCACACACAAUCCUCGGAGAAGAGUCAACAGGAUUGUGACUAGAAGUGGCUUCUACAUCAGCCCAAAGUUGACUUUCAGCAAAAGAGCCAAUGUCGUGCCAUGUUGCCCAGGCUGGUUUCAAACUCCUGGGAUCAGGUGAUCCCCCUACCUCAGCCUCCCAAAGUGCUGGGAUUACAGGUAUGAACCACCACGCCUGGCCCCCUAGUGAAAUCUAAAAUUGCAACGCUCUUUUUUCUCACAGUUUUCUCAUGUCAUUAAUUCUCUCUUCUACUUCUCUAAAAACUUUAAUCUACUCCACUGUCCCUGACAUUUUAGUUUUUGUCUGACUACACUGUCUUGCCUACCCCAUAUUUGAACCACUUUUUCACUACUGCCCCCAGCCCCUAUUGCCCUAACAGGCCUCCCAGGCUUCUCAGACCCGCGCAAUGGAGAUGAAGCCUGGAGUUACUGACUGUGCUGCGCAAAGCAGGCCAGGAGCCCACAGCUGUCCUGAAAGCCCUUCUGUUUGUGGUGUUCACCUUGGACAGGCCUUCGCCCCCGACUUCGUUCAUCUGUUCUUGCUCAGCUUAUAUCUUCUCUUAACCCACCGCAACAUUCAUGGCUGAGACCCCCUAACAAAAGACUGAUUAGCAAAAGAAAAUCAUGCAAAUUUAUCUAACGAAAGUUUUACAUGACCCAGGAGCCUUCAGACAUGAAGGCCCAAAGAAACAGGGAACACUGUAUUUUUAUGCUUAGGAUGGAUAAAGAGUGGACAGUCCUGUAGGAUGGUUGGACAAAGGGAAGAUGAGCUAAUGAGAAUAACCUGGGGAGAACUUAGCAAGGCCAAUUUGUUCAGAUUCCGCUUGGCAUCGCUGGGUCUUCAUUCCUCUUCUCUAGGUACAGGGAGGAGGAACCUCUGGAAUGAGCGUCUAAUGACCUACUUUAGAGGGAGGCCAAAUAAUUAUUUUAGGACCUGCUUUGGAGGAGAACACUGGGAGAAGGUCAGAGAGAUCUUCCCGCUGCUGCCCUGCGUUCUCCUUCCCCUCCUUUGUCUCCACGGUCCCCGCCCUUGUUUACCCUCCCGUGCUCUUACCACCCUCCAGGAUCAUACUCAAUGCAUUAACCCUUUCCCUCGUCUCUUCUGGCUUGUUCGCCCCAGGCCUCCCCAUAAACCUUUCUUAAUAAAUCCUUCUUUCUCCAUCCUGUGUCUACGUCUACUUCCAACCAUUUUUUCUCCUUAAAUAUUUAAUUCACCAUCUUUACCUACAUGCUUAUUUUAUGCAUUAUCACAAAAUUAUAUUUUCAGCCCCCAUAUUUUCCUGAAGCUCUUUUGCAACUGUUGUAAAUAAUCUUCUGGCAGCCAAACCCCUUUUUCGUUCCCUCAUUAAGGAGGGUUUAUACUUAGGAAGCAGCCACCACUUCCACCACUGAGCUGGCAUUGGCGAUACGACAAUGAACAAGAUACAAAUGGCCUUUACCCUUAUGGAGCACGCAGUCCGUGGUAAAGAAAGCAAGAAGAUAAUCAAUUACAGACCAACCUGGAUAACACAGGGAGAUCUCAUCGCUGCAAAAUAAAAAAAAUUAGCCAGGCGUGGUGGCGCAUGCCUGUGGUCCAGCUAUUUGGGAGGCUUAAACAGGAGGAUCAUUUGAGCUGGGGAGUUUGAGGUUGCAGUGAGCCAUGAUCACGCUACUGCACUCCAGCCUGGGCGACAGAGUGAGACCUGCAGUGAGCCAUGAUCACGCUACUGCACUCCAGCCUGGGCGACAGAGUGAGACCUUGUCUAUAAAAUGAUAAUAAUAAGAAUAACCAAUUGAAUUACAGCAUAACAAAUGCCAGGAUGGAGAAAUAAUGGGAAACUGGGUGCAGAGGAGGGAGGUCUUUAAGGCAGAUCAACUCUCCUUGGCAUUUAGUUCUAAAUACUGUCCUCCCAUGUGGCUUGUAGGACCCACACUCCCCUGAGACUCCUCCUGCCACUCCUACUUGGUUUUAUUCUUUGUCACUCCUCCAUUUCCCCAACUAUCUUUGAAAUAUUCGUGUUCCACAGGACUUUGUCAUUUACACACUCUUCCCUUCUCUUUCUAGAGGCUUCCUUGAGCAUGCUCACUGCUUGAAAACCUGAUGAAACUGACAUCCGUCUCUAGCCUGGAGACGUUCUCUUGCACACUCAGCUCUAUGACGGGCUCCUCAAACUCAAAAGGCUCGGGAACUGAGCUCAUUAUGUUUCCUCCCAGUCCUUCUCCUAUUAUCUGUCCUACUCUAGUUAAUGAAAUUUUCACCUCCCUAUUUGGAGCAAGUCCAAAAACUGAGAGUCAACCUAUAUUUCUCCAUUUUACUUAUUCUCUGCCUUCACUGGAGGCUGUACCACUUACAAGCACAUACUCUAAAGCCAGAUGGUGUGGACUGAAUCACAAUUCUACUAUUUGCUAGAAGAGUGCCUUAGGUAAAUUACUGCAUAGCUCUGUGACUCCAUUUCCUCAUCUGGGAAGUGUAUUAUUAAGAAUGUGGCUGGCCUUUGUCCCCAGGUUUUGGGAAGUAACCUCUAAACCCCUGCCAUUUCCCGUGCUCUAGGGGUAUCUUUGUUAUUCACAGGGGGCUCCUUGGACCACACUUGGUAGUCUAUGUGAACAUAUGACUUGGAAUGGAGGCUGGUCAAGACGGAAAGACCCACCAUGUGAUUAGGGAGUCGAGGGCUUUGAACCAUAUUUUAGUGGCCUGACUCUGAGGAGGAGAGGGGCCAAAGACUGAGACACAUGGGCAAUGAUUCGAUGAAUCAUGCCUAUGUAAUGAAACCCCAAUAAAACUCACAAGGACUCAGGGGAGCUUCCCUGGUUGGCAAUUUCCUCUGUGCGUUGCCAUACACUGAAGUGCCGGAAGGGUAGCACGUCCUGAGGACAAGGGCAGCUUCGCAGCUAGAACCCUCAUAGAUCCCCUUCUGUGCAUCUCUCCCUUUCACUGCUUCUGAAUUACAUCCUUUUACUGCAAUAAAACUGCCAUCAUAAGUAUAGUGCCUUCCUGAGUUCUGUGAGCUGUUCUAGAAAAUUGUUGAACCUCAGGGAGUCUGUAGGGACCCCUGAAUUGGUAGCCAGCUGGUUAGAAGUUAGGGUGGCUCCGGAGGCCUCCAAACUUGCAGCUGGUGUCUGCCGUGAAGGAAGUCUUGUAAAGAACUGUGCCCUUAACCUGCGGUUUGGCCUAAAUCCAGACAGGGAAUUGAAGACAAUAACGCCUAAUCCAUAUGGUUACUGUGAGAAUUAAAUGAGCUAAUACAGAUAAAGCCUUUGAAUAGUAACUAUCAUAAGUACAAAAUGAAUAUCACCUAUUUUUAUUUGUAUUGAUUUAUUUUUAUAGACAGGGUCUUGCUCUGUUGCCCAGGCUGGAAUGCAGUGGCACCAUCGAUCAUUGCUCAUUGCAGCCUCAACCUCCUGGGCUCAAGUGAUCCUCCCACUUCAGCCUCCCAAGUAGCUAGGACUACAGGUGCACACCAUCAUGCCCAACUAACCUGUUUAAUUUUGUAGAGACGAGGUCUCACUCUGUUGCAGGCUGGCCUCAAGCUCCUGACGUCAAACAAUCCUCUUCAGCUUCCCAAAGUGCUGGGGUUGAUGUUACCCACCUUUAGAAUUGUUGCCUUGCAUUAGUGUGAACAGAGCCCAUAUACAUGAGGAGUCUGCAUUCCCAGGGUCUUCCCAAUGGGCCUCCACUGGAUGCCCAUAGAGAAGAAUGGUACACAGCAGAAAAGCAGAGAGAGAGAGCUUCAUGUGGCAGCACACAGACAUAGAUCCCCACCUCCUUUCUGGGCCUUUCCUUCACACAACACAAAAGCAUGAGGCCACUGUGGAUGGGCAGGUAAUCCUUUUGUCCCCCAAGGCUUGUGGAAAGAUCUUCUGUUGUUUGUUUGUUUGUUAGUGGUAGGGUGGUUAAAAGCAAAAGCCAUCUGCCCCUGGAUCAUGCCCCAUAUAAAACCGAGGUCUGCUACCAGUGAGCCAGGAGCAGGAAGCUUUCUCCAAAGAACCCCACAGAUACAAGCAGAGUUUGACUAUGAGACAAAGGCAGAAAUACUGAGAAAACCCCAUACAUGAGGUCCAGGCUAACAGGGAUAGCCUAAGAUUGAGGCUGGACCAGGAGAAUUAAAAAAUGCCCCUUCCACACCUUAAGUCUUUCAUGGGAAAAUAAGCAACAACAGUUGUUUACUCUUGGGAGGGAGGAAUCAAAUGAAAAGAGAGACAUCUUUUGUGUACAGGCAUUCAGGGUCUACCAAAAGAUGAAGGUGAAACAGUAACAUUGACAAAAACUCUCCAGCACACCAGGUCCUUCACUAAUACAAGGUAUCAGAGCCCACGACUGGAAGAACUUAAAGUUUGAACUAACUGUGAUUAUAGCAGCAACAAAACCCAAACCCAACUCAAACCAGACUUCCACACAAGUGGCCUGGCAGAAGAAGUAUGCCCAUUUCUGGACAUAAAAUAUUUUAAAAGUCCCUUUAUUACUAUUGUUCUUCUACACACAAUGUCUGAUGGUCAAUUUUUAGAAAUACAUAUACGUAUGAUGUGUAAAGCAAGAAAACAUCCAACUUACUAUCAAGGGAUAAAGCAAUCAACAGAAUAAGGCCCAGAGAUGAACAAGAUGCUAAAACAAUCAAACAGGAAUUUUAAAAUAACCAUGAUUAGCACAGGACAAAAAGAUCAACUCUCAUCACUUCUAUGUAAAAUGUAUUUAAAAUCUUAAACAGUGAAAUAAGGCAAGAGCCAGAAAAAAAAAGGCACACAGACUUAAAAAAACAAAACUACAUUCAUUACCUGACUGCAUAAAAAUUCCAAAUAAUCUUUUUUAAAUGCUAUUGGAGUAAGUGAAUCUAACAAGGUUGUGGAAGUUAAGGCCAAUAUAUAAAAAUCAAAUGUCUUUUUAUAUACUAGCAAUGAACAAUUGGAAAUUCAAAUUUUAGGAAACAUCAUUUACCCUAGUAUCAAAAGCAUGAAAUAUUUGGAGAUAAAUCUAACAAAAAUGUGUAAGAAAUACUGUGAAAAUUACAGAAUAUUGAUGAUGGAAAUUAAAGCACACAUAAAAAAUAAAGCAAACUACCAUGUCAUGAAUAGGAAGACUCAGUAUGGUUAAACUUUUAAUUCUUCCCAAAGUGAGCUAUAGGUUCAAUGGAAAUCCAAUGAAAAUCCAAGUAAGGCUUUUUUUGGUAGAAAAUAGCAAAGGUGAUUCCAAAGUCUACACGGACUUUACCUGCACUAUAUCCAAAAUUUAGUUCAAAAUAGACGCCAGGCAUAAUAUCACACCUAAAACUAUAAAAUCUUCUAGAAUGAAAAAAGAAAAAUCUUUGUUAAGCAAAACGAGGUGUAAAAUGAUGUAAUAAUUUGGGGGAGCAAAAUAAGCAGUUUAUUAUUAGGUUAAAAAUACUCUUACCACACAAGCCAGAUAGAUACUCCUUUUCUAAGUAUUUCCCCCCCCCAACCCAAAAUGAAAACAUAUCCAUAAAACUAAACUGCAAAUGAAUGACACAAGAUUUACCUGCACAGUGUCAUGGCACUAUGGGGCUGGCAAGGUAGUAGCAUAGCCAUGGUGCCAAGGCAAACUUCUCAAAUCUCUCUGUGCUUCAGUCCCUAGAAGGAACUCAGCUACAGGCGAUGCCCGAUCAGGUUGAGGUUUGGAAUGGGCCCUGGAUACUGGCAUUUUUAAAACUCUUCCCAGGUGGCCGGGCAUGGUGGCUCUUGUAAUCCCAGCACUUUGGGAGGCUGAAAUGGGAGGAUGGCUGGAGGCCAGGAGUUUGAGAACAGCCUGAGCAACAUAGCAAGAUCUCGUCUCAAUAAAUAAAUAAAUAUUCUUCCAAGGCAAUUUUGCUGUGCUGCUGGGUUUAAAGCACUAGCAGGACAAGACAGUCAUUGUUUCUAGUAUAUAUGUGAACACAUUGCAGGAGGGAAUAACAUAUACAAAUUAGCGCUUAAAAACAUUCAGGAAGGAACAUACAAAGGAGCAAAGAAUUAUAUAUUCAACACAUGUUUUGUGCUCUAGAAGAAAUUAAACAGAACAUGGAAUCAAACAAAAAUUAAAGAUAAAAUAGGUCAAAAGAGAAAUUGGAGAGAAAAUAAAGCAAAGGAAGGACAAAACACCAUUAGAAACACCCAGGAACAGAAUGAUCAGCUGCCAGCAAGUCAGUGUCAGCAAGGGAAGAUCUGAAAUGCUAGCAAAGAGGAAGAAGAAAAAGAUUAAAGACAUUGAAAGGAAAAGAUAUGGAGGACAGACAAGAUACAAAAUAAAGCAAAACAUAACAUUGCUCUCAAAUUUGAAACACGUGACAGGAAAGUGUUAAUUUAGAGAGGUAAAAUUCAACAGAAAAUUAAAAGGCAUGAAAAUGGCUAAUUAAUAUGUGGAAGGAUUCUGUGUAAAUUUAGAAAAAUGAAAACAAUGUAUUCAGUUGGUGCAAAAGUAAUUGUGGUUUUUGCCGUUAAAACCUCUUUGCAGAUCACAUCAUCGAAAACUGAAAAGAUUGAUGUGUGGGCAAAGGUGUAAAACUAGAAACUUGAAUAUAAUGUUGAAUAAAACUAUCAUUUUCAAUUCAAAUACCACUUUACUUCAGCACAUUUAUCUUACAUAUACACUCGCAACUAGGAAAGGAAUAUGGACAAGCAAAGUCACUGUGUCAUUUUUAGUCAUUGUAAAAACCAGAAAAAAUCUAAAGUUUUGUUUGUAAAGGAUUGGUUUAAAAUCAUGGAAUAUCCAUACAAUGAAAAAGGUAGGUGUUCACUGGGAAAUACAGUAGCUGUCUAUGUUGAUAGGGAAAGACCUUCAAGAUUGCUCAAGUGACACAACGGAUAUCUAACAAUACGUAUGAAUGCAUACCCUCCUGUUAGGGAAACAGGAGCCUAGGAGAGUCAGGGUGACACCACUUUAAAAUCAACUCCAUCUUAAACCUAAUGAGGCACAUUCCUUGCCAGUUACCACCUGUAUUAGCCUCUUCUCAUGCUGUUAAUAAAGACAUAUUCUAGACUGGAUAAUUCAUAAAAGAAAGAGGUUUAAUUGACUCCCAGUUCCGCAGGGAUGGGGAGGGCUCAGAAAAUGUAGAAUCAUGGCAGAAGGGGAAGCAAACACGUCCUUCUGCACAUGGUGGCAGCAAGGAGAAGUACAGCAAGGAGAAGUGUGAAGUGGGGGAAAACCCCUUAUAAAGCCAUCAGAUCUCGUGAGAACUCACGCAUUAUCACAAGGAUAGCAUGGAGGUUACCGCCCCCACGAUUCGAUUACCUCCCACUGGGUCUCUCCCAUGACACGUGGUGAUUAUGGGAACUACAGUUCAAGAUGAGAUUUGGGUGGGGGAUACAUGGGUGGGACACAGCCAAACCAUGUCACCACCCAUGGUCAUAGAAUGUUAAUAGCUGAGAAAAACGCCUAAUGCCUGCAAGGACAAACUCUUAUGACAGCAAAAUGUCCCAAUGUCCCAAUAUCACAUAGCAAUAUAUGCUUUUAAAGAUAAUUAUAGUCAUGCUGUGGUGUGUUUGUGCACUAAAGUGCCAAGGACAGCUUUCUUUAAACCAACGAGGAAUAAAUUUUGUCACACCGUCAGCCCACUGGCGUGUAGACAUAAUGUAGCUUAGCUUUUACAUAGAUAAGACCCCUAUAUAAGAAAAACUUAAGACAAAGAUGAGGGGUUCCUCCUCUUGCUUUCUGAGGAUGCCCUACUUUGUAUCUGGGUAGGUUUCAGUAAACUCUCUCUCCUCACUGCACUCUGCAACUCACCUUGAAUUCUUUCCUGCACAAGAUCCAAGAACUCUUACUUGGGGUCUGGAUUGGAACACCUUUUCCUGGCAACACUCCUAUUACACUUGAAAUUUCAAUCGUAUGCCUGUAUUUCUUCUGUUUCAAAUGUUAAAAAUUUAUAUGUUUUCCGUGAAAAAAGAGUUGGAAUUUUUUUUAAGUUUUAGCUUUUUAUGGAGAAAAAUUAUUAACUAGAAAAUUAGACUAUCAGAGAGACUUAUAGUUUCACCUCGCUAAGAUUUCAUUCUCAAACAUGGGCCAUUACUUUUACUGGAAGUAAAAAAUUAUAUAAUUAUAUUGGAACUAGUGUUGAAUAAUUUUAUUUUUGUUCACAUAAAGCAACAUGAAUAAAAUACACAAUAACUAUAACUUAAAUCUGAAAUAAGCACUAAAAUUAUGUGCACAGCAUUCAUUUUGCUAUUCUGCUGCAAACAGAAUAUUUUCUUUUCAUAGCACCUGCAGUGAAGGUCUCAAAGGAGUCUUGCAUGGAAGGGCAUUGAAGGGGACAUGAAAUUUUAACUAAUACCACGAGCUCACAUGCUUCAAACCCAAACUUGCUUAUAACCAACCAAUGUCACUUCUUAGAGAACAAUAUUACAGGUUUUUAGUAUUGUGCUAUUGUUUUUCCUUAAAUUAUGUUUUGUUAUCUGAAAUCCCAAUUAAUGGUUUUAGUUUUUUUUUAAUUUUUGUAAGACAGGGUCUUGAACUCCUGGGCUCAAGUGAUCCUCCCGCCUCAGCCUCCCAAAGUGCUGGGAUUACCGGUGUGAGCCGCCGCACCUGGCUAAUGUUUGCUCUGGACACCAUAAGACUUGUUAGCAUAAUCGUAAGGAGACCCUGAAAAUACAUAUUUUAGCUGCUCCCAGAGUCUCUCUGUGUUUCUACAGGACAGUGGGAAACUGAUGUAAAUAAUUAAGAAGCAAAUUAAUUAUUUGUCAGUUACGUACCCAUCCUGACUUCCAGCAUGGAGACUUAAAUGAAAAGCAGAGGCAGCCAGGUGCCAAUUACUUUUACAAGCUUCAUUCUUAAGUUGAAUUAGGAAAGACUAAGAUGUAACCAGAUGUAUGUAUUAUCAAGUGAUGAAAGUUAUCUGCUUUUUAAAACACUUUUUGAUUUAGUCCUCCUAAUUUUCCUAUGAUUGCAACUCCCAAAAAGAAUCAUAACAUAAAACCUACACCUAAGAAAAUUCUGUUCUGAUGCAGGGGAAAUUCAUCUACUUGCAAAAGCACACUGCAGGAUUGCAAUUCAGAUGUCAAGUUAACCUGAUGAGUGAUUUGAACACACACACACACACACACACACACACACACACACACACUUGCUUUGUAAAUUAAAAAUCUGGAGCAAGCCACAGAACAUGGUCCCUUUCAGAAGGGAGUGUCUUUGUUCUGCAUAGCUCCUGUCCUGAUGGUGUGGGCACCUCUGAGUGGUCUCUCCAUUGUGCUGGACCUGGUUGCUGUAACUAACAAUGGGUGGCUCUCCUGGUCUGAAAUCUAAAGAGCAUGUUAGUCACCUGCAAGCCUGCUCUUAUUUAAAAGAGCUGGUUCACCUCCUUUUUUACAUCGUCAAAUUAGAUCCCCUCAGAGAAAUGCCAGAAUGUUCAGUUGACACAUUAACGCUGAAUUAAAACUAGCUACAAUUUCCAACUUGCAGAUGGUGGUGAGACCAAAGGUAAUAACAAUGAAUUUGUCAUUCAGCCACAAGGGAUUGAUGCAGCCAAUUAAGGCUACUCUCUGCCCAUGAGAUUCUGCUCAGGUUUUCUACUCCAUCGUGACUAGGGGAGAUCACCGGAAGGGAUGAUUUCUUCCACUUACAUCACACAGAACUCCUGCAAAGGGGUUUUCACUCCACAAACACUUGUGAUGGCUCUUAUUAUGUUCCAGACACUGCUUGAAGCCCUCUACAACUAUUAACUCAUCUAAUCCUCCCAACAACGCUUAAUGGUGAGUUCUAUUACUCCGAUCACUUAAGAGGAAACCUGGAUGCUAAGUAACUUGUCCAAGGUCACACAGCUAGUGAAUGGCACAGCUGGGAUGUGAACACAAGCGCUGUGACUUCAGAAUCCAGGCUCGCCCUGACUUUGCUACACCACUCCUGUGCCCGAGAUAAAGCUGGGUUUCCAAUCUCCGCAUCGUUCACAUUUAGGGCCAAGUAAUUAUUUGUUGUUGGAGGCUAUUCUAUACAUUGUAGUGUCCCUGGCCUCUACCCACUGGGUCCCUGGAGUAACCCUCCCUCCCCUGAGCUGUGAAAACCAAAAAUGUCUUCAGAUACUGCCAAAUAUCUCUUUGGGGACAAAAUCAUCUCGUUGAGAUAUCAUUCUCUAUGUCUAUCAUAGAAAUAGAAUGACUAAAAAGAAGAAAUAAUAGAAAAAUGUGGCAUUACUAAAAACAAUCGUAGUAUGUCCGUCUCUGUACAUUUUGAGAUAGAAUUAUUAGGAAAUAUCUCAAAACAGUCCUCUCUUUUUUUGAGACGGAGUCUCUCUCUGCUGCCCAGACUGGAGUGCAAUGGCACCAUCUCGCCUCACCGCAACCUCCCCCUCCUGGGUUCAAGCGAUUCUCGUGCCUCAGCCUCCCGAGUCGCUGGUAUUACAGGCACCCACCACCACGCCCGGCUAAUUUUUUGUAUUUUUUAGUAGAGAUGGGGUUUCGCCAAGUUGGCCAGGCUGGUCUUGAACUCCUGACCUCAGGUGAUCCACCUGCCUUGGCCUCCCAAAGUGCUGGGAUUACAGGCGUGAGCCACUGCGCCCAGGCUCAAAAUAGUCCUUCUUUUAGCUUUUAUGUUAUCUCUCCUUCCUAGCUUUUUUUUUUUUUUUUUUUUUUUUUUUUGGCUUAGGCAGCUAGGAAGCCCAGAGCUCUAUCUUCACCUGAAGCCACGAGCAUUUGAGGAAUUAUGUGCUCAAUAUUGUUAGAUGCCGCAUAUGCACAGAAAUAGAGGAAGUUACACGGGUUUCAGCCUCGUUGAAGAAAAGCAUCGACAGGGAAAUUAGAAUCAGUCAAGCAGCCAGAACAUAUGUAAAUGUUACCUUAUGCGGCCUGUGGGAAUGAAGCACAACAGGACACGUGGGCGCGGUAGUGAGCAGGGCCGGCUCUACUGAGGAGGUCGGUGAGCAGAGUCCGCAGCGGAAAAGGCGAAGGCGACGUGACGUCCAGCAAGCUCGCCAUGUUGAGAAGGUAACACGGCGAAGCCCCGCCCAGCUGGGAUGGAAGGCGCCGUUGGAAGGAACGUGAGGCACAGUUGGAAGCAGGCAACGGUGGGCGUUGCAGGCUCGUGAACAAGAACAGGAAGCGUGCUCGCUUCGGCAGCGCAUGGACUAACAUUGGAACGGUACAGGGAAGAUCAGCAGGGCCCCUGUGCCAGGACGGCACGCGAAUUCCUGAAGUGUUCCAAAUAAAUAAAUGAGUAAGAACAGGAAGUGGUACUGGGCGUUUCAGGAAUAAUAACGAGCAGCGGGGAACCAGGGCUCUGCGGGGCUCAUGGCGAGUUAUGGAAGCUGUUACGAAUCUGCCUUAUGGUGAGGAAGACAGAGAUCGAGGUGUUGGCAGUGAAAUGGAAAGUAAGGGGUGAUUAAGGGAAAAUAUUUGAAAUUGAAGAAUUGACAGGGAUCCAUGGUUUGUUAGACAUUGAAAAUAAUAACAAAUGUGGUAGGCUGCUUCUCAGUGAGCUCCCACUAUCCCCUUUCUCCUGGGAGCCACACUGCAGUGGAAGCUCUUCCCCCAGUGUGGGCUAGACCUAGUGACUCAUUUCUAAUGAACAGAAUAUGGCAGAGUAAGGGGUCACUCUUACAAAAGAAUGUGGCUUCCAUCUUGGGUGUGAGUGGCCUCCGGGGAGACCCGCAUAACAAUGAAAUGAUGUCCCUGGACCAGCCAGAGAGGACCAGAGGACUGUCAGCAGUCCCAUGAGCGAGCCUGGAUGUGAAUGCGUCCCCUGAUCCCCGACGUUCAGCUGUGAGAUGGCCGCAGCACUGGCCACAGCCUUGACUGCAGCCUUGUAGAGAACCUGGGCCAGAGGAUGCUGCUAAGCCACGCCUGGACUCCUGAGCCACAGGGACUGUGAAUGGAUCAAAGUGUGCUGUUUGAAGCCACUAAAUCCAGGGGGCAUUAGUUACACAGCAAUGGAGAAAAAGUACAACAAGCUUACAAGACAAAAAAUAACUUUUAUCUCAAACAUAGGACACCAGUUUAUUCAGUUUACAUAUUUGGAGAUAUGGUUUUUCUGAAAAUUAACCAAAGGGGGAAUGAAUAAAGAAAAAGAAACAUCAAGGCAAGGAAAGGAAGAGAGCCCACAUCUAAUAGAGGAAAUGUCGUUGCCCUUUUAGUACAGAAGACAGAGAUCUCUCUUCCAUGGGUAAUGGCUCUCCUGUGUUAGCCAUCUACUUGCUGUCCCCAGCAUUAUGCAGCGACAUAUAACUGGACUAUGUUCAGAAAAUUAAAAUGACAUAUUCAAGGUAAAUAUCUAGGAACAUUUCAGCCCUUAGGAAGUAGAAGAAAUACCUCCUGUUACAAUCUCCAUAUUUUCUAAUAGAUAAUGCAACUCAUUCUGCUACACAUCAGCUAGUUAACUAGCAACACUUUUUCCAGUGCUGACCAGUGCAGGAGUUCUUUGAAAGAAUUACUUGUUUCAAAGAGGUCGAAGUGCAGAGUACAAUGGUGAUUGCCAGGAGUUGGAGGCAUGGGGCAUGGGGAGAGGUUGGUCAAAGGGAGGAUAGUCUCAGUCAGAUAAGAUGAGUGUGUUCUGAAGAUCUAUGUAUGAGACGGUGCUGUCAAUAAUAAUGUAUUAUUGUAUACUUGAAAUUGUUAAGAGACAAAUGUUCUCACCACAAGAAAAACCAAUAACUAUGUAGGUGAUGGAUGUUAAUUACUUUGACUGUGGUAACCGUUUCACAGUGCGUGCAUAUAUCAAAACUUCCCAUUGUGCGCUGUAAAUAUACACAAUCUUUAUAUCUCGAUAAAGCUAGGAUGGGAGAAGGAAACACUUAUAAAUCACAGCACACUUGAAGGAAAGAGGAACAGACACCUAUUUCAACAUGUAAGAUCACAACAGAAAGAAGAAUGUGAGUUCCAUGAAGGCAGGCAUUUGCCUUGUUCUCGUCAUAGUCCCAGGCCCUGGCGCGUGUUAGAUGGUCCCUAGUGAUGAGGUGAGUAUAAUUAAUAAUGGAGACUAAUACCCAGGGUCCUUAACUAUAUGCACAAAGCAAACACACUUUAUCCUCUAUGUAAUUCUAUAUUAAUUAGCACUCUUAGUUUAUAAGCUUACUAACCAUGUCUUGAUGAGUGAUUCUGUUAUCCAAACUUUCAAGCCCAUUGCCAGAAACCAAAGCUAUUGGUCAGUGUGUUAGUGGUCUCCAGGGAAACAGGAGCAAUGGGAUGCACGUGGUGGGUAAUUUCACAUGUCAGCUUGGCUGCACCAGGAUGCUCAGAUAUUUGGUCAAAUGUUAUUCUGGAUAUUCCUGUGAGGGUGUUUUUGGAUGAGACUGACGUUUCAAUGGGUGAACAUUGAGUAAAGCAGACUUCCCUCCAUAAUGUUGGGGGGGCUCAUCUGAGCAGCUGAAGGCCUGAAUGAAACAAAGGCUGAUAUCCCCCAAACAAGACGUGCUUCCGUAGCAGAUGGCUGCCAGCGUUAACUGCAGCAGUGCCUCUUGGUCUCCAGCCUGCUGGCCCAUUCUAGAUGCUGGACUUGCUAGCCUCCACAGUCUUGUGAGCAAAUUCCUCAAAAUAGAUCUCUCUCUCUCUCUGUACAUUGUAUUGCUUCUGUUUCUCUGGAGAGCCUUAACACAAUGUGUGUGUGUGUGUGUGUGUGUGUGUGCACAUGCACAUAUAGAGAGUUUUUUGAAAUAAUUUUUAAUUAUUUUUUAAUACUUUUAUUUUAGAGAUGGGGUCUCACUGUGUUGCCCAGACGGGUCUCAGAUGGGCUCAAGCAAUCCUCCCACCAUGGCUUCCCAAAGUGCUGGGAUUACAGGCAUGAGCCACUGUGCCCAGCCUAAAGAGAUGUAUUUUAAGGGAAGAUCUGGUUCUGCAGUUCAAGUCUGAAGGCCACCUGCUGACAGAAUCCCCUUUUCUCAGAGGGCGGUCGAUUUUCUCUUAAGCCCUUCUUCAACUGACUGGAUGAAGGCUGCCCACAUAAUGGAGGGGAAUUGGCUUCCUCAAAGCCUACUGAUUUAAAUGUUAGUCUCAUUUUAAAUAUAUCCUUACAGAAACAUCUGGAAUAACGUCUGACCAAAUAUCUGGGUACAGUGAUCCAGCCAAGUUGAGACAUGAAAUUAAUCACCAUGGCCUACAUUUUUAUCUGUUUGGCUGCAAUUCUGUCAAAGGCUUCUGCUCUUCAUAACAUUUCACUCACUAGCUCCAUGAAGCCAUAUGAUACAAACCUUGCCUGUGUAGCCUUCACUUUUUUCCAAAAGAAGUCUAUUAAAUGCCAAUCAAGUAUCUUCUCCUCCAAGCUCAGUAGCUCGGGCCUUCAACAGCUGUUCCCCAUUCCGAUCCAUCUCCCUGAGCUACCCUGGCAUUCUUAUCAGGACACUGGAGGAAUCUAUGUAUGUGCCUCUAAAGAUUCAGCACCCAAACAUGAUAGAAAUCACUGUGUUCACACUGUAUCUCUAUAUCUGCCCAUCCCUUUAAAUCAGUCCAAUAAACCAGAUUAGAAUCAGUAAUAGGACUCAGCUGCUUUCUUUAUACCGUUGAUGGUUCUGGUUUAAGGACCAUCAAUGGUAUAAAGAAGGCAGCUGAGUCCUAUUACUCAGCUGCUGUGUAUAAAGAAGGGAGAAUGGUUUGAGGAUGCUAGACAUCCAGCUGACAUCCAGCUAACAUCCUCAAACCAUUUUCCUUUAACUUCUAACCAAAAUGCCAAGAAAAUCAGGGGGGCAAGGUUAACAUUAACAACAUACGACAGACCACCUAGUGUCAGACUGUGCAUGGUGUUCGCGAUAAUAAUAACAAAGAUGAAGCUUGCCUGAGAAAAAUCUUGGCCAGAAUUCAGCACAUCCUACCUAAGGACAGUCCAUCAGAAACAGACCACUUGGAAAAGCUGAAAGUGUUUGUUUUCUGAAACCGAAGUACCUGUAGCAACCGGCCCAAGGUUCUGGAGAACAGAAUUAAUAAAAGGAAUCAAACUUAUGCUAUUUUAGAAGGUUUCUUUAAGAACCCCAUAGUGUGGCCGGGCACAGUGG